ACCUGUUGUGGUGGAUGUCUUGGCCCAGGUUCUGAGGAAGGACACAGCAGCCUUGCGAUACGUUCGGUGAUACGCAGAGUCUUGUGAUCUGGACAAAGGAACAGCUUCGAACGCAACUGGCCAGCAAGGGGUUCCCCCCCGAGCUGCCUGUGCGCCAGUGUUG
rnacentral:rRNA from 12 species